CAGGCUUAACACAUGCAAGUCGAGGGGCAGCAUGGUCUUAGCUUGCUAAGACUGAUGGCGACCGGCGCACGGGUGAGUAACACGUAUCCAACCUGCCGUCUACUCUUGGACAGCCUUCUGAAAGGAAGAUUAAUACAAGAUGGCAUCAUGAGUCCGCAUGUUCACAUGAUUAAAGGUAUUCCGGUAGACGAUGGGGAUGCGUUCCAUUAGAUAGUAGGCGGGGUAACGGCCCACCUAGUCUUCGAUGGAUAGGGGUUCUGAGAGGAAGGUCCCCCACAUUGGAACUGAGACACGGUCCAAACUCCUACGGGAGGCAGCAGUGAGGAAUAUUGGUCAAUGGGCGAGAGCCUGAACCAGCCAAGUAGCGUGAAGGAUGACUGCCCUAUGGGUUGUAAACUUCUUUUAUAAAGGAAUAAAGUCGGGUAUGCGUACCCGUUUGCAUGUACUUUAUGAAUAAGGAUCGGCUAACUCCGUGCCAGCAGCCGCGGUAAUACGGAGGAUCCGAGCGUUAUCCGGAUUUAUUGGGUUUAAAGGGAGCGUAGAUGGAUGUUUAAGUCAGUUGUGAAAGUUUGCGGCUCAACCGUAAAAUUGCAGUUGAUACUGGAUAUCUUGAGUGCAGUUGAGGGCAGGCGGAAUUCGUGGUGUAGCGGUGAAAUGCUUAGAUAUCACGAAGAACUCCGAUUGCGAAGGCAGCCUGCUAAGCUGCAACUGACAUUGAGGCUCGAAAGUGUGGGUAUCAAACAGGAUUAGAUACCCUGGUAGUCCACACGGUAAACGAUGAAUACUCGCUGUUUGCGAUAUACUGCAAGCGGCCAAGCGAAAGCGUUAAGUAUUCCACCUGGGGAGUACGCCGGCAACGGUGAAACUCAAAGGAAUUGACGGGGGCCCGCACAAGCGGAGGAACAUGUGGUUUAAUUCGAUGAUACGCGAGGAACCUUACCCGGGCUUAAAUUGCAGAUGAAUUACGGUGAAAGCCGUAAGCCGCAAGGCAUCUGUGAAGGUGCUGCAUGGUUGCCGUCAGCUCGUGCCGUGAGGUGUCGGCUUAAGUGCCAUAACGAGCGCAACCCUUGUUGUCAGUUACUAACAGGUUCCGCUGAGGACUCUGACAAGACUGCCAUCGUAAGAUGUGAGGAAGGUGGGGAUGACGUCAAAUCAGCACGGCCCUUACGUCCGGGGCUACACACGUGUUACAAUGGGGGGUACAGAGGGCCGCUACCACGCGAGUGGAUGCCAAUCCCCAAAACCUCUCUCAGUUCGGACUGGAGUCUGCAACCCGACUCCACGAAGCUGGAUUCGCUAGUAAUCGCGCAUCAGCCACGGCGCGGUGAAUACGUUCCCGGGCCUUGUACACACCGCCCGUCAAGCCAUGGGAGCCGGGGGUACCUGAAGUGCGUAACCGCGAGGAGCGCCCUAGGGUAAAACUGGUGACUGGGGCUAAGU
rnacentral:rRNA from 1 species